rnacentral:rRNA from 1 species
CAGUAGCCGCGGGAAUACAGAGGGUGCGAGCGUUAAUCGGAUUUACUGGGCGUAAAGCGUGCGUAGGCGGCUUUUUAAGUCGGAUGUGAAAUCCCUGAGCUUAACUUAGGAAUUGCAUUCGAUACUGGGAAGCUAGAGUAUGGGAGAGGAUGGUAGAAUUCCAGGUGUAGCGGUGAAAUGCGUAGAGAUCUGGAGGAAUACAGAUGGCGAAGGCAGCCAUCUGGCCUAAUACUGACGCUGAGGUACGAAAGCAUGGGGAGCAAACAGGAUUAGAUACCCCGGUAGUCCCUGUCUCUUAUAC